UACGAAGGGGGCUAGCGUUGUUCGGAAUUACUGGGCGUAAAGGGCGCGUAGGCGGCGUGUCAAGUCAGGCGUGAAAGCCCCGGGCUCAACCUGGGAACCGCGCUUGAGACUGGCAUGCUCGAGUUCGGGAGAGGAUGGUGGAAUUCCCAGUGUAGAGGUGAAAUUCGUAGAUAUUGGGAGGAACACCAGUGGCGAAGGCGGCUCACUGGACCGGUACUGACGCUGAGGCGCGAAAGCGUGGGGGAGCAAACGGGG
rnacentral:rRNA from 1 species